UUACCUGCUGGGGUGGCGGCGGACACGGAGCUCAGAGCGGGGUCCCCCUGAGGUGCGGAGGGACACGAGGCUCGGGGGUGGUCUUCUCCAAACAACAGGGUCGUGGAGUUGUGCAGGGUCCUGCCUGGAGCUGCUCAGCGUCCUGGGAGCCGCUGCUGCCUCAGAGCUCCUCCCUGAGCAGAGUUGUGGUUUUAAGAAGAUGGAGAUGGCUCAUCCUGCAUUAAAGGGCUGGACAGGGGAUUCCAAACCAAAACACGUGCCCAGUUCUGACCAGUGCCUCUGUGCUGCUCUGUGAGAGGAUGGGUGUGGGGAGAGUGAAACGAGAGAGAAAGUGGAGGUAUCACACCGAGUCGGGGAGGUGAAGACAGCUCCUUCAUCCACGAGGAUAUUCUCCCACCUUGGAGCAAGACAGCAAAGUCCAGACAGGAUCUGAGCCCGGGCCAGCAGGAAUCUUUCACUGGCUGCUGCCUUUGUGCUUUGGAGCCCUGCAGAAGGUGAACGUGUGUCUGCAUCACGUGAGGCCUGGAGUGAUGGGCUGAUGCCUAAGAAGCUGAGCUACAUUUCAGAAAGGAGGGGUGAAGAGCACUUGAUGCCAGACGUUAUUUUCCGUGUGUGACAUGACACCAGACUUCACUACUGCACCUCACGUUUCUCUGUGUGCCUGGGUUUGAACACCUUUUCCAACAACAACCAUAUU